rnacentral:rRNA from 1 species
ACUAGUCGAGUGACACUGCGCCGAAAAUGUACCGGGGCUAAACAUAUUACCGAAGCUGUGGAUUGUCCUUUGGACAAUGGUAGGAGAGCGUUCUAAGGGCGUCGAAGCAUGAUCUCAAGGACAUGUGGAGCGCUUAGAAGUGAGAAUGCCGGUGUGAGUAGCGAAAGACGGGUGAGAAUCCCGUCCACCGAUUGACUAAGGUUUCCAGAGGAAGGCUCGUCCGCUCUGG